UCUCUUGCUGAACCAUCUUGCCUGUCACUGAGGUCAUUUCUUGCUGUGAGAACCCUCAGGAACAGGAUAGAAUGAGAAGGAGUUCUGUUUUUCCAACCCAAUAAGGUCUAUGUUAGAAGUAUUUACUCUAAAUUCUGUUUGAAAACUUCAUGUCUCCUUCCUUGUUUCAUGCCUCCUUUCAAUAUUUUAUCACGGGCAACUAAGAAGAAACAAAUUAGUCUCAUAAUCAUUUAACUUGAAAAUUUUCUUUGGCCAGAUCCACAGGUUCAAGUACAUGAUGUUACUGUAGGCAUGAGCCUCAUUCAUCAUUCUAUUUUAAAGCACAGAUGAACAAACAUCUUCCUAUCUGCAAGAAUAAAUCCUGACUAGUUUCUUGACAUGCAGGUAUCAAAUCACCUGGAACCACCACACCCUUCUUCAGGUGUAUUCCCAGAACCUCAAAUAAGUGAAUCCACAUAAAAAGAUUUCAUAAAUAUGUAUGUCUGGAGGCUAUGGAGACGGAUCAGAGGCUAAAAUGCUAGUGGAAACCCCAAACCCAAACACCUUUAUUCCAACUGGAAAAUCAAGUCUGGAACAUGGAAAGAUCAAACUGUAAAGAGACAAAUACAUCCAGCCCCCAAUGCAGUGAACUCCAACUCCUACUGGAAUCAGCCUUGGUAACCUUUAAGACAAUAUAGCAGCUUGAAGGAGGAAUUAGGAUGGUCUCCACAUUGUUUCCCUAUUUAAAAAUCGUAUAAAAUACAAUUUAUUAUGAGAGAGAGAGAGAGUGAAUGAGAACCAGACAUGGUACCAUCUGUACACUUAGAAGACAGUUUUGGGUAUCACAAAUCACAAAUUCUGGGCUAGGUUCCAUAGUAAGACCCUCUUUCAGAAGACUAAAAUAAUAAUAGCAAUAAUGUAAAUAAAACUGGUGUAAAUGAAGUAUAGAGGAUAUUCAAAUGAAUAUGCUAUUAUGAAGGUAACUCUAAAACAUCAGUCUGCAAAUUUUAUUGAAUUCAGAUGGCAUUACUUGGGCUGGGUGGUGGUAACAUAGAGCAAGUUUCAGGACAGUUAGGGCUGUUACACCGAGAAACCACCCUGUCUCAAAAAAAAAACAAUAAAUAAAUAAACAAAUAAGUAAAUAAGAUGGCAUUACUUGAACAUCUAAUGUAUACUGUUCCAAUAGAAAAUGUCCUAUUAGAGCCGG